CAGUAGCCGCGGGAAUACGGAGGGUGCAAGCGUUAAUCGGAAUUACUGGGCGUAAAGCGCACGCAGGCGGUCUGACAAGUCAGAUGUGAAAUCCCCGGGCUUAACCUGGGAACUGCAUUUGAAACUGUCAGGCUGGAGUCUUGUAGAGGGGGGUGGAAUUCCAGGUGUAGCGGUGAAAUGCGUAGAGAUCUGGAGGAAUACCGGUGGCGAAGGCGGCACCCUGGACAAAGACUGACGCUCAGGUGCGAAAGCGUGGGGAGCAAACAGGAUUAGAUACCCCGGUAGUCCCUGUCUCUUAUAC
rnacentral:rRNA from 1 species